rnacentral:misc_RNA from 1 species
GGAUGAAGAACGCAGCGAAAUGCGAUAAGUAGUGUGAAUUGCAGAAUUCAGUGAAUCAUCGAAUCUUUGAACGCACAUUGCGCCCCUUGGUAUCCCGAGGGGCAUGCCUGUUCGAGCGUCAUUUCACCACUCAAGCCUGGCUUGGUGUUGGGCGACGUCCUCUUUGGGGACGCGCCUCGAAACGCUCGGCGGCGUGGCACCGGCUUUAAGCGUAGCAGAAUCUUUCGCUUUGGAAGUCGGGGCCCCGUCUGCCGGAAGACCUGCUCGCAAGGUUGACCUCGGAUCAGGCAGGGAUACCCGCUGAACUUAAGCAUAUCAAUAAGCGGAGGA